CUACGGAGGGUGCGAGCGUUAAUCGGAAUUACUGGGCGUAAAGCGUACGUAGGCGGUUGGUUAAGUUAGAUGUGAAAGCCCCGGGCUUAACCUGGGAACUGCAUUUAAAACUGGCGAACUAGAGUUGAGUAGAGGGGAGUGGAAUUUCAGGUGUAGCGGUGAAAUGCGUAGAGAUCUGAAGGAACACCAGUGGCGAAGGCGACUCCCUGGACUCGAACUGACGCUGAGGUACGAAAGCGUGGGUAGCAAACGGAAUUAGAAACCCUAGUAGUCC
rnacentral:rRNA from 1 species